CUACGGGCGGCUCCAGUGGGGAAUAUUGGGCAAUGGGCGCAAGCCUGACCCAGCAACGCCGCGUGAGGGAAGAAGGUUUUCGGAUUGUAAACCUCUGUCCUUGGGGACGAAGAAGUGACGGUACCCAAGGAGGAAGCUCCGGCUAACUACGGUGCCAGCAGCCGCGGUAAUACGUAGGGAGCAAGCGUUGUCCGGAAUUACUGGGCGUAAAGGGUGCGUAGGCGGCAUAUUAAGUCAGGUGUGAAAUACUCGGGCUCAACCCGGGGGCUGCAUUUGAAACUGAUAUGCUUGAGUGUGAGAGAGGAAAGUGGAAUUCCUAGUGUAGCGGUGGAAUGCGUAGAUAUUAGGAGGAACACCAGUGGCGAAGGCGACUUUCUGGCUCAUAACUGACGCUGAGGCACGAAAGCGUGGGGAGCAAACAGGAUUAGAUACCCCGGUAGUC
rnacentral:rRNA from 1 species